GCACCAGCUGUAUAGGCUGCUAAGCACGUCACACCAAGUUGUUGUGCUGUAGAACAAUCCUCCUUUCUUCUAUGCAUAAUUUUUCUAUAUAUUAAGUCCACUGAAUGCUCAAAUGUUGAAAACAUGACCAUCGAGACUGGAAGAUUGCGGCUCCACAACGGAACAAGGCCCCUAUAGAAACCAGCAAGGCCUUCAUUUCUAUAUACUAACGGAAACCCAUCCACUAAACCCUUAGCAAAAUUACGUUGAAUUUGAACACGGAUCUUAACAGCUUCAAAAGGAGCUAAAGUAACAUCAGCUAAAAGCUGUGCAGACAAACCACUGAGAAAGAAUAUAGAAUUUCUAUUAAGCUUAAUCAAUGCACGAUCAUCGUCGGCGGCAUAGAAGUUUUUGAAAUACUCAUAAAGACCGUAUUUGAACCCUCCUUGAAUACCAUAUCCACAUAAUUUGCCAGACCAACCUCUCCAAAGAGCAUAAGAACCUUCCUCUUUCCAAAUGGUGGCAAUGCCGGAGAGAAUUCCAUUGUUCUUGUAUUUUUCUGGAUUGACUUGCAUGUUGACUUUGAGUACAUCGAGAGGUGUUAUAGCGAGAUGGGUGGCGCCGGAACUAAGCAUACCUCCGAUAAAGCAAAUUCCGUAAUAAUCAUAUUUCGACUUCGACAGAGGAGAAGGAGAAGGAGGAGAUGCUUUUCUUUCUUCAAUGUCUUUCAUUCUCUAAUUCUCUUCAAAGCAUUGCUCAACAACAAAAUAGAAUCGUCGAGUUCAAUUGGGCAUGUUAUGUGUUUGAUUGAUGAAAAGAUUUAAUAAAAAAGAGGGAAAUGAUGGAAUGGGAAGUUACUACCAUUUAAUGAGAAAUAUCAAGUGAUUAAAGCUGGAU
rnacentral:lncRNA from 1 species